rnacentral:rRNA from 1 species
UACGUAGGUGGCAAGCGUUGUCCGGAUUUAUUGGGCUUAAAGGGUGCGUAGGCGGCCCUGUAAGUCAGUGCUGAAAUAUCCCGGCUUAACCGGGAGGGUGGCAUUGAUACUGCAGGGCUUGAGUAAAGUUGAGGUUGGCGGAAUUGACGGUGUAGCGGUGAAAUGCUUAGAUAUCGUCAAGAACACCUAUUGCGUAGGCAGCUAGCUAAGCUUUAACUGACGCUGAGGCACGAAAGUGUGGGGAUCAAACAGG